rnacentral:tRNA from 1 species
GCGCCCGUAGCUCAGUUGGUAGAGCACCUGCCUUUUAAGCAGAGGGUCGUUGGUUCGAUUCCAACCGGGCGCA